CGAGGUCUCAACUGUGGCAGCUUGGAAAUAGCUUAUGAACUCAAGGUGACAGUUUUCUUUGGUCUUGAACUGGGCCUUCUUGUACAGUGCCUAGGAGUGACUUCUGCAUAGCAUCCGGGGCCUGUGUGGGAUUUUGAUUGACAUGUGCAGCUGCCUCAUCCACCUUCAGUCAUAGCACCAUUGGACACAUUGGGUUCCAGACUAUCCUGCAAGGAUCAUGCCCUCCUGGGAAGCAGGUGGCUGUUGAGCUUGGUGAUCUUUCCCAAGGAUGGGGCAGAGGGGUUUCACCCUGGAGCACCAGGAGUACCAGCUGUGAUGAGCUGUGCUGUGCCAGGUCUGUCUCCAUUUGGCAUUUGAUGGGAACCACGGGCUUUGGAACAUUCUGCUUCUACCUGGACUCAGUUGUGGGAGCUACUUUGUGGGCAUGCAGACCUGCAAGACUCAAGAUGCACUGCACACCAGGCACUUAGCACCAUCAUCCUGGUGCUCCACUCUCAGAACAAAAGAAAGAUGGAGGCCUGUUGGACACAUGAAGAAGACCAAGCCCUGUGAGAAAGAAAUAUGAGAACAACCAACCCCAUAGGGAAAAUCAAUAUUUCAGAGCAGACGAUGAUGCCUCAAAAUAU
rnacentral:lncRNA from 1 species